GGUAAAUUGUUCAAGUUUAUACCUCGUUCUACUUUCCGUCUAAAUAUAUCCCUACCGUUAGCAAAGUAGAUAAAAUUAUCCCUAACUCUAACAGAUGUCCAAUGUGGCAAUGGGACCCUCAAUUAAUCUGCCAACUAGAAAAAUAUCAACCCAAAUUUUAAAAGACAUAUGCCCAUUUCUUUGACCCAACUAUCCAGCCACCUUAUGGGUCACCUCCUCUCUUAAUUCAAGUAUUCAACCACAACUUUUCUUCUUCCUCGUUUCUUCUUUUCCAGUUCUUGAUCUUGUUCUUCCUUCUUUAUUCUUUUUCAUUUAUGGCUGGGAAAUCAUGUUUCAUGAUAAGGACAAAGAUAUAGAACAUGGAAAGAGAUAACUCGGGGAUGGAUCCCUCUUUCUAACCUUCCCCUCCAAAUAUUUGUGGGUCUCCUCAACCAUACUAAUCUAGUCAAGCAUCAAUCAAUAACAACCACAAAUAAAAUCCAAAAUAUGUAGAAAAAUUAGCUUAUGUGUGCACAUUAAACCAUUUGAGUCCCUGAAACAGAAAAGAAAAAGAAGAGAGCUCUCGUUCUCAUGAUUUGAUGGAAGAGAAAGAGAGCGGUCGAUGGCGGCGACUGCGGCAGCUUAGCCGUGGAGGAACGAAGAGGAGUGAGCAAUCGUCAGGCAGCGAGUCUUGCAAUUUCUCCGACGGCACUGAUUCGACGACCUCUUCAUUGUCAUCGUCGAUUUGUUUCCAGAUUUUGACCCAUUCAUUUGUGAUAGUUGGGUCGGACAUGGGUCUUUUAAUUUGGGUUGAUAUUUGUCCAGUUGGCAAAUUAAUUGAGGGGUCCAUUACCACGUUGGAGAUCUGUUAGGGUUAGGGAUGAUUUUAUCUACUUUGCUAACGGUAGGGAACUAAGUAUAACGGUGAACAAUUUAACAAAGUAGAGGUACUGGCCUUUUCCCAAUUAUGUAUUAGGGGUUUUAUUUUGUUGAAACUCGUUUGUGAAGUGUUAUACGUUAUUCUCGACUUAUUAAAAGUCAUGUUUUCAUGAAGUUUCGGAUUUUUGUGCAAUAUAUUGACAGCAUGGAAUAGAA